rnacentral:lncRNA from 1 species
GGAGAACCACUGCUCUCUUCAAAGCUGUCAGACAGGGACAUUUAAGUCUGCAGAGGUUACUGCUGUCUUUUUGUUUGUCUGUGCCCUGCCCCCAGAGGUGGAGCCUACUGAGGCAGGCAGGCCUCCUUGAGCUGUGGUGGGCUCCACCCAGUUCGAGCUUCCUGGCUGCUUUGUUUACCUAAUCAAGCCUGGGCAAUGGCGGGCGCCCCUCCCCCAGCCUCGCUGCCGCCUUGCAGUUUGAUCUCAGACUGCUGUGCUAGCAAUCAGCGAGACUCCGUGGGCGUAGGACCCUCCGAGCCAGGUGCGGGAUAUAUUCUCGUGGUGCGCCGUUUUUUAAGCCCGUCGGAAAGGCGCAGUAUUUGGGUAGGAGUGACCCGAUUUUCCAGUGAGAUGAACCCGGUACCUCAGCUGGAAAUGCAGAAAUCACCCGUCUUCUGCGUCGCUCACGCUGGGAGCUGUAGACUGGAGCUGUAGACAGGAGCUGUUCCUAUUCGGGCAUCUUGGCUCCUCCUUGAAAACAAGCCCUGGAAAAACAAAGAAUGGAACACCCCUCCGCUGACUUCAACCAACUGCCUGCUGAUGCGGCCUGACUCCCAGCCCUUUUUGCAGUUUUGAAGUGACAAACUGACUAGGCUACAAAGUAUUCAACCAUGGGCUGGUUCUGGCUGGUUCACCGAGGCUGUGUACAAAGUGUCUUCAUGUCCUGUGUUUCACCUUUUAACAUACAGAACCUAAUUUUACUGCAUUUUAAUGUUAAUUCUCCACUCGAAGGUGAACAUGGGAUGUAUGUAACACAUAUGUUUGCUUAUCAAGCACACAUAUGACCCCCUUUCAUGAAUAUUCAUAGUUCCCCCUGUGACCUGUUGAAUAUGUCUGUUUAGCCAACCUGUUUGGCAUAAAACUCCUAUCCCACCCUAUCUCCCUCAAAGUACCUGUUUGUGGUCUCAGCUGGAGGUGCCACUUCCCAGCCUGCAGUUUGCAACCCUUCUCAAGAAAUAAAGUCUUCCUUUCCAAG